rnacentral:rRNA from 1 species
UACAGAGGGUGCGAGUGUUGUUCGGAAUUACUGGGCGUAAAGCGCGCGUAGGCGGCUUUGCAAGUCGGGUGUGAAAUCCCCAGGCUUAACCUGGGAACUGCAUUCGAGACUGCAUUGCUAGAGUAUGGGAGAGGGAAGUGGAAUUUCCGGUGUAGCGGUGAAAUGCGUAGAUAUCGGAAGGAACAUCAGUGGCGAAAGCGACUUCCUGGACCAGUACCGACGUUCAGGCACGAAAGCGUGGGGAGCAAACAGG